rnacentral:rRNA from 1 species
UACGUAGGGUGCAAGCGUUGUCCGGAAUUAUUGGGCGUAAAGAGCUCGUAGGCGGUUUGUCGCGUCUGCUGUGAAAUCCCGAGGCUCAACCUCGGGCCUGCAGUGGGUACGGGCAGACUAGAGUGCGGUAGGGGAGAUUGGAAUUCCUGGUGUAGCGGUGGAAUGCGCAGAUAUCAGGAGGAACACCGAUGGCGAAGGCAGAUCUCUGGGCCGCUACUGACGCUGAGGAGCGAAAGCAUGGGGAGCGAACAGGA